rnacentral:rRNA from 1 species
GACGAACGCUGGCGGCGUGCUUAACACAUGCAAGUCGAACGGAAAGGCCCCUUCGGGGGUACUCGAGUGGCGAACAGGUGCGUAACACGUGAGUAACCUGCCCUUGACUUCGGGAUAACUUCAGGAAACUGGGGCUAAUACCGGAUAGGAAUCCUUGCUGCAUGGUGGGGGUUGGAAAGCUUCGGCGGUUUUGGAUGGACUCGCGGCUUAUCAGCUUGUUGGUGGGGUAGUGGCUUACCAAGGCUUUGACGGGUAGCCGGCCUGAGAGGGCGACCGGCCACAUUGGGACUGAGAUACGGCCCAGACUCCUACGGGAGGCAGCAGUGGGGAAUAUUGCACAAGGGGCGGAAGCCUGAUGCAGCAACGCCGCGUGCGGGAUGACGGCCUUCGGGUUGUAAACCGCGUUCAGCAGGGGCGAAGCUUGUGGUGACGGUACCUGCAGAAGAAGCACCGGCUAACUACGUG